UACGAAGGGUGCAAGCGUUGAUCGGAAUUACUGGGCGUAAAGGGUGCGUAGGCGGUUUGUUAAGUCUGUCGUGAAAUCCCCGGGCUCAACCUGGGAAUGGCGAUGGAUACUGGCGAGCUAGAGUGUGUCAGAGGAUGGUGGAAUUCCCGGUGUAGCGGUGAAAUGCGUAGAGAUCGGGAGGAACAUCAGUGGCGAAGGCGGCCAUCUGGGACAACACUGACGCUGAAGCACGAAAGCGUGGGGAGCAAACAGG
rnacentral:rRNA from 1 species